CAGAAGAUCAUGGAGACACUGAUGGAGGACCACAACCAGCCAGCACCUCCGGUCCAAACAGUCAUAUACAACCAGAUACCAGUGGUAGGAGUUCAGACAGUUCUGGAACUGAGACUGAUGACAGUGAUGACUGGAAGCAGACCAGAAAACGUAGGUCAAAAUUUAACUGUCAAA